GAUCCGUAAAUUCUGAGAGUUCCUAAACUUUGUCUAGUUUACUCAUAAUUAUUAUCGUGAUUUUUGGAAGCUUUUAACUUGUAUUAAAAUGCUCAUAUUCAUAGACUGGUCCGGAUUUGUGUUUGAAAACACAGGCUGUUUUGUAAAAAUCACCAUAAAUUGUAGAAAAAUCGUGUGGAGAUGUGCAAGUAGUCAUUUUAAAGCUAAGAAGUGGAACUACUUGCACCUAAAACAGUUUUGAAAACUAAAAUGUUUAAGNCUAAGAAGUGGAACUACAUGCACCUAAAACAGUUUUGAAAACUAAAAUGUUUAAGUUGUCCAAAACAGUCCGUGAAUGGAGUUGAACUUUUCUGAUGAAGGCUGUUAGAAAAGUUUAGUUAUAUUAUUGGUGUUUUAACUUGUAUUCCCCCCCUAAAAACUUGAGAAAACAUGAAAAUGUAGGGGGUAUGAACUCACCUUGAGUGAUUUUAGAAGAUAAGUGUUGAAGAAGAGGAGUGUUCAACCCAAGAACACUUGAAGAAUCACUUGAAGAUUCGAAGAUCUAACAUAAUUAUGAUGAAGUUUGUGUAAGAUAUCCAUGAUUUGAGUAGAAAGAAGUGAAAUAAUCAUGAGGAGAAGGGAUUAUGCUUACCAAAUGUGGAGGAAAAACACAAGAUCAGCCCUUGAAUCACGAAUUCUAGAGAGAGGAAGUGAGAGAGAAAAGAGUUUGAUCUUCUUGGUGAAAGGAGAGAAAAUGAGAGAAGUGAGGAGAGAGGAGG
rnacentral:lncRNA from 1 species